AGCUUCAAAAUGAGCCCCAACAUGCCCAGGUUCCGUUGAUUUUGAACUUU
rnacentral:sRNA from 1 species